AUAGUUUUGGUAGUACAUAUACUAAAAACUGGAAUGAAGUAGAGAAGAUUAGUGUGGGCCUUACACAAGGAUGACACACAAAUUCAUGAAGUAGUCUAUAUUUUU